rnacentral:rRNA from 1 species
ACUCAGGUGUUGUUGGGUAGGGGAGCGUUCUGUAAGCCUGUGAAGGUGGCCUGUGAGGGUUGCUGGAGGUAUCAGAAGUGCGAAUGCUGACAUAAGUAACGAUAAAGCGGGUGAAAAGCCCGCUCGCCGGAAGACCAAGGGUUCCUGUCCAACGUUAAUCGGGGCAGGGUGAGUCGACCCCUAAGGCGAGGCCGAAAGGCGUAGUCGAUGGGAAACGGGUUAAUAUUCCCGUACUUGGUGUUACUGCGAAGGGGGGACGGAGAAGGCUAUGUUGGCCGGGCGACGGUUGUCCCGGUUUAAGCGUGUAGGUGUGUGUUCCAGGUAAAUCCGGUUCACUUUAACACUGAGGCGUGAUGACGAGGCACUACGGUGCUGAAGCAACAAAUGCCCUGCUUCCAGGAAAAGCCUCUAAGCAUCAGGUAACAUCAAAUCGUACCCCAAACCGACACAGGUGGUCAGGUAGAGAAUACCAAGGCGCUUGAGAGAACUCGGGUGAAGGAACUAGGCAAAAUGGUGCCGUAACUUCGGGAGAAGGCACGCUGACAUGUAGGUGAAGUGAUUUACUCA